AGAGUUUGAUCCUGGCUCAGGACGAACGCUGGCGGCGUGCCUAAUACAUGCAAGUAGAACGCUGAAGCUUGGUGCUUGCACCGAGCGGAUGAGUUGCGAACGGGUGAGUAACGCGUAGGUAACCUGCCUGGUAGCGGGGGAUAACUAUUGGAAACGAUAGCUAAUACCGCAUAAGAGUAGAUGUUGCAUGACAUUUGCUUAAAAGGUGCAAUUGCAUCACUACCAGAUGGACCUGCGUUGUAUUAGCUAGUUGGUGAGGUAACGGCUCACCAAGGCAACGAUACAUAGCCGACCUGAGAGGGUGAUCGGCCACACUGGGACUGAGACGCGGCCCAGACUCCUACGGGAGGCAGCAGUAGGGAAUCUUCGGCAAUGGACGGAAGUCUGACCGAGCAACGCCGCGUGAGUGAAGAAGGUUUUCGGAUCGUAAAGCUCUGUUGUAAGAGAAGAACGAGUGUGAGAGUGGAAAGUUCACACUGUGACGGUAUCUUACCAGAAAGGGACGGCUAACUACGUGCCAGCAGCCGCGGUAAUACGUAGGUCCCGAGCGUUGUCCGGAUUUAUUGGGCGUAAAGCGAGCGCAGGCGGUUAGAUAAGUCUGAAGUUAAAGGCUGUGGCUUAACCAUAGUACGCUUUGGAAACUGUUUAACUUGAGUGCAAGAGGGGAGAGUGGAAUUCCAUGUGUAGCGGUGAAAUGCGUAGAUAUAUGGAGGAACACCGGUGGCGAAAGCGGCUCUCUGGCUUGUAACUGACGCUGAGGCUCGAAAGCGUGGGGAGCAAACAGGAUUAGAUACCCUGGUAGUCCACGCCGUAAA
rnacentral:rRNA from 1 species